UUUCCCUCCCACCCCAAACAAUCAAACCAUUGUCUUCUCUCUCUCUUUUGGUUCGUAGUUUCUCUUCUCAUCUACAACGUAUCUCCUCUCUCUUGGUAGCGUACGACAAAGACUGACAACGAACGAUGACGAACCCAAGAGCAUUCCUUUGAGCCGCGAACUUUGGCAGCCGCUUCACUGAGCAAUUGUUUGAGUGGCGAUUCUUCAAGGUGAGUCUUGAGCGGCUAUUUCUCGACCUCCACAACGAUUCUCCAAGGUGAGACGCCACCUAUCUCAAGUCAUUUCAUCACUAUGUUCUGGUUGUUUCAGAUUUGUCACAAGAAAAUGUGUGUGUUUAUUGAUAUUGAGAAACUUCACCAUAAACCCAUAGAGAUUCUCACCGACAAGGCCGACAUUGUCGUCCUCCAAAAGGUUAAAGAUAAUUAAUGAUGACGGCACAAGUGGGUCUCAGUUACUUUUCCUCCUCUUCCCAUUCUUCUUUGCUUCGUCCUUCACAUUUUUCCUUUGGCAAAUGCUGAUCAUUUGCUGGUGAGUUCGAUUAGGUGCAUAACACAAUUCUUUCUUUUUCUCGAAUUUAUAGCUUUCUUUCAAUUUCGGGUUCAAUUGGCCUGGCCCUCUCUGUUAUCUUGUGUUCUUUCGUUCUAAAUUCAAGUUUGAGGGUUUGUUAUGUGAGGUAUUUGGGGGCUUCUAGCCUUGUACAUUGUCCUAUAAAUGCCCUAAUUUAGAGCGCUGUUAGCGAAUUUUUUCUUGUUUUGUUUGAGAUUUUUUUUUUUUUUUUUGAUUUGGGUAUGUCAGGAUACCAUAGAUUCCUAGUUUAUCUCUCCAAGUUUUAGUUGCUAAUACUUUAUUUAUACAUCGUUACUGCUAUUAAUUGCAUUUUUGUUCUAUCUAAGGAAGUUGAUUGCCAGAUUGUUGUUCAUUUCAAGUAUUCAAUUGCUGAUAUUCUUAGUGUCAAUGGAGUAUUUCUAGGUUAGUUUGAUAGUGAUGAACUUUCUAAUCAAUCAAAAGUCUUUACGUAUUUUAUGAGUUUAAAGGAUGUUUUUGACCAUUGAAGUGGAAGGGUAGGACUUAGGAGAUAGUUUAAAGUUCGCAACUUACAAUUUGUAUUUGAAAUAUAUGUAGUGUCUUUGAUGCCGGAUGCUAUGGAAAUUAUAUUCCAAAAGGCACUUGAUCUUGGGAGAAGUGGUGCUGUAAGCAAACUUCACUAUCACUAUUAUUAUUAGUAGUAGUAGUAUUGGUUGAAUUAUAAAUUUAGUCUUCAAUUGUACUAAUUUAGAUCUUGAGCUUAAAAAAAUUUAAGUAUAUUAUUAAACUUUAUAUGAUGAUUAUAUGAAGUCCUUGCUGUUAACAUUGCCCUAAUUUAGCCAUUACAAAAGCUAUUAGAAGGCAGUCCCUCAAUGAGUAAUUAAAAGGGAAAAGGCCUUAAAUGGGCAAAUUGUACAGCUCUACGUAUUUACCUCUCUAACUCCACCUCCUUGAAUAAUACUAAUGCUGAUCCCAAGUCAUUUCUUCCAAGAUAUUUGGAAUGAUUCAAAUGGUAAUUGCAUAUCAUGAAAUGUGCAUCAUCCAUUGUCAUCUCAAGAACAAACCUUCCUUUUUAUUUUUCAUUUGACUGUGCAAGAUAAUUUCUAAGGUGUGUUUGGUCUCCUUUCUAGAUGAUUUUUGUUUCUCAAAUAGACUUCUAUUAACUUUUUGUUUACUCCUCUAUUUUCUGUCAUCUUUCAAUUAUCACAUUUACUUUAUGUCCUGUUUAUUUUCCUUUUGUUUCUUUUUUUUUUUGGAGUAUUUUUUUAUACAUGACUUCUUAUUGAGAUUAUUGAGAUUGACAUUUACUCUAUUUUAUGAAUGACAUGUUUUAAUCUAUGUGUUUUAUCUCUUAAUGCUCGUUGGAUAUUGUUGCUAGAUGUUUCUCUAUGAAUGUUGGAUGUUCUGGAUGACUAUGAUUGAUUCUAGUUGUUUAUAAUUGUUUGACUAUGCUCUGUUAUGACUACAAUCACUGUAAAGCAUUACAUUUUGAAUGGAAAUAAAUAGUUAUUGUUUUGUCUAAAUUUUUUCUUUUUGGCAAGACAAAUUAGCAAAAUGAUGAUAUUUAGGUGAUUCAAUCAAAGAUGAUCAAUGAAGCACAAUGGCAAUGGAUAAACAAAUUGCUACUUAUAACUAACUUCUUUAAUGGGACCAAAUUUCAAGAUUAGUAUUAGGAACGAGAAGCUGUCAGGUUUCUCUAUGUUGCCAAACCGCAUCCAGAUGAACUUAAGCUUCUUGUGGCCAUUUCCAUCUUAAUUCCAAUAGAACAAAGGUAAGCUAUUAACUGUUGUGAUCAUCAUUCAUACUAUGACAUUGAAAUCUUAAAUCAAUCUGAAUGGGUCAUAUUAUAUGUUGUAACUAUAGCUAAAUUACCACAUUUAUCAGAUUAUUGGAUCAGUUCAGAAAAUAGUUUUGAAUUUGAUUAUUGACAGACUCGUUAGAUGAUGAUUGUUUUGAAUCAUUGUGAUAUACGAUUAGCUUGUGCUAUAUUGAUUAUUGAUAUUUUGUGCUACGUUACUAAAGAAUGUAGAAGAAGUGUACGCAUGUUGUUUAUUUCAAUCGCUUAUGUUCUGUUGGGAUCUUUAUUGGUUAUUCAUUUAUCUAACAUGGGUAUUGUUUUCCUCAUUACGUCUUUCACGAACUCAAAGAAGUCAAGAUUAGGAUUGCAACAAAUUGAUGAAUGGACAUCUUUGUUGGGUUAGUGUCUGAGACAUAUGUUCCAUUAUGUAUGUGUACUUGGUAUGUGUAAAGAAUAUUGUAUCAUACUUUGUUCAUAUAUGAAUGUUCAAGUUUGUUAUAUAAAA